AACGCACCUUGCGCUCCUUGGUAUUCCGAGGAGCAUGCCUGUUUGAGUGUCAUUAAAUUCUCAACCUUCCAGCUUUUAUUAGCUUGGUUAGGCUUGGAUGUGGGGGUUGUGGGCUUCAUUAAUGAGGUCAGCUCUCCUUAAAUGCAUUAGCGGAACUUUUGUGGACCGUCUAUUGGUGUGAUAAUUAUCUACGCCGUGGAUGUGAAGCAGCUUUAUAAAGUUCAGCUUCUAAUCGUCCAUUGACUUGGACAAUAUUUGACAAUUUGACCUCAAAUCAGGUAGGACUACCCGCUGAACUUAA
rnacentral:misc_RNA from 1 species